UUUAUUUUCAUCCUCUCCUCGUAUCUCUGUUUGUUUAAUGGGAAAAUCACUUCCUUCGACGACAAGCCUCCAACAAUUGACCAAAAUUAUCACCCUGGCCAGACUCCAAACGCCGAAACGCGUGAAAUCCAUAUCACGGAUCCGGGCAUCGUCCCCAGAGACAGGGAAACCCGGGCUGUUUCGAGUCGACUCAGAGCGAGUAAAAGAGCAAAAGUUGAUGGAGAGCUCAGAGGGGCAGCAGAGUCAAAUUCGGAUGCCGCUGGCCCAGGUCGUCUCGGACUGUGCGAAGCGAUGGUUCCAGGACGCGCUCAAGGAGGCCAAGGCCGGUGAUAGCGCUAUGCAGGUCCUCGUCGGCCAGAUGUACUACAGUGGCUACGGUGUCUCGAGAGACCCUCGAAAGGGACACACUUGGAUUAAUAGAGCUUCAAAAAGUCGGGUUUUAGUUUGGAACAUAAGCGACAAACAACCAGGUUACAAUGCAAGUGACUCAGAUUCGGAUGGAUUGAAGGGUGAUGAAAAAUAAGUCAAAGGUCAUUUUCUGUUGAACGUGCCAGUGGAAACUGAAAACUGAAUUCCUGGGUUGUGACUAGUUCCAAGCUAACCAGGUUUAAUUGACAGUCUAAAGUUAAUGAGGCUGAUGUUGAUCCUAAAUGAAAGUUGCAAAAAUUAUUACACGAUGUGGUGGGUGAAAAUUUUGAAUGGACUUGCUCCGUGUCCAUUGUAGUAACUGCCUACCAUAAUGAGGAUAUAUAAAGUUUACUUUAAAUGCAUAAGAGAGCCCUGACGUAAGUAAAAGCAAGGAAGUCUCUUUACACAAGGAACUCGAGCUCGUCUGGUGAGGGCAAUUUCAUCUACCUAGGCAUCUCCUUUCUCCAUUCCCAUGGCUUCUCAGGAUUUGAUGAGGCCCAGCGGCUAACUCGCUAAUUAGCUCGAGCCUGUUUUUCCCACUGUUGUCAUACAUAAUAGAGCUUUAGGGUAGAGACUAGAGGCUUAAAACUCUGAAAGAACAAGUGAAACAUAUGCAUGGCUUACUCAAAUUACCAUUCAAUUUAGAAUCAUCUCCUAAAGCGACUACAGCUGCUGGGAAUGUCCUGCUAAGAACAUGAUAACGA